UACAGAGGUCCCAAGCGUUGUUCGGAUUCAUUGGGCGUAAAGGGUGCGUAGGCGGCGCGGUAAGUCGGGUGUGAAAUCUCGGAGCUUAACUCCGAAACUGCAUUCGAUACUUCCGUGCUUGAGGACUGGAGAGGAGACUGGAAUUUACGGUGUAGCGGUGAAAUGCGUAGAUAUCGUAAGGAAGACCAGUGGCGAAGGCAGGUCUCUGGACAGUUCCUGACGCUGAGGCACGAAGGUCAGGGGAGCAAACGGG
rnacentral:rRNA from 1 species